CUCAGUAGCUCAGUGGUAGAG
rnacentral:siRNA from 1 species